rnacentral:rRNA from 1 species
AUUGAACGCUGGCGGCAUGCCUAACACAUGCAAGUCGAACGCGAAAGAGGGGCAACCCUUAAGUAGAGUGGCGGACGGGUGAGUAAUACGUAGGAAUCUUCCUUUAAGUGGGGGAUAACCACGCGAAAGCGUGGCUAAUACCGCAAAAUAUCUUCGGAUUAAAGCAGGGGACCGCAAGGCCUUGCGCUUUUAGAUGGGCCUACGCCGGAUUAGCUAGUUGUUAGGGUAAUGGCCUACCAAGGCAACGAUCCGUAGCUGGUUUGAGAGAACGACCAGACACACUGGGACUGAGAUACGGCCCAGACUCCUACGGGAGGCAGCAGUGGGGAAUAUUGGACAAUGGGCGAAAGCCUGAUCCAGCCAUGCCGCGUGUGUGAAGAAGGUCUUCGGAUUGUAAAGCACUUUAAGUUGGGAGGAAGGGUUGUAAGCUAAUAUCUUGCAGCUUUGACGUUACCAACAGAAUAAGCACCGGCUAACUCUGUGCCAGCCGCCGCGGUAACAC